rnacentral:rRNA from 1 species
CGGAUCAGCCCGCUCCCGGUAAAACGGGACGGCCCGCCAGAGGACCCCUAAACUCUGUUUCUAUAUGUAACUUCUGAGUAAAACCAUAAAUAAAUCAAAACUUUCAACAACGGAUCUCUUGGUUCUGGCAUCGAUGAAGAACGCAGCAAAAUGCGAUAAGUAAUGUGAAUUGCAGAAUUCAGUGAAUCAUCGAAUCUUUGAACGCACAUUGCGCCCGCCAGUAUUCUGGCGGGCAUGCCUGUUCGAGCGUCAUUUCAACCCUCAAGCACAGCUUGGUGUUGGGACUCGCGUUAAUUCGCGUUCCUCAAAUUGAUUGGCGGUCACGUCGAGCUUCCAUAGCGUAGUAGUAAAACCCUCGUUACUGGUAAUCGUCGCGGCCACGCCGUUAAACCCCCAACUUCUGAAUGUUGACCUCGGAUCAGGUAGGAAUACCCGCUGAACUUAAGCAUA